rnacentral:tRNA from 1 species
AGCUCUGUGGUGAAGUUCAUGUUAGAUUGCAAAUCUGAAGAUAUACUUUGAUAGGUAUCAGUGCUU